UACGUAGGGGGCUAGCGUUGUCCGGAAUCAUUGGGCGUAAAGAGCGUGUAGGCGGUCCGGUAAGUCCGUUGUGAAAGUCAGGGGCUCAACCCUUGAAUGCCGGCGGAUACUGUCGGGCUAGAGUCCGGAAGAGGCAAGUGGAAUUCCCGGUGUAGCGGUGAAAUGCGCAGAUAUCGUAAGGAAGACCAGUGGCGAAGGCGGGUCUCUGGACAGUUCCUGACG
rnacentral:rRNA from 1 species